CCAGCUGCCGCCGCCGCGCGCGGGUAGCUCGCCACUGUGCGCGCGGUUUCCGCGGGCACGCGCGCCGACGGCCCUCGUUUCUCACAGUUCCCGAGCAGCCUGGCGUUGGAGGAACCGGUGACGGCGGCCCUGCUGUUUAAGUGGGGACCCGGGGACACACCUACAGGAGCCCCCCCGUGGACUCCGGCCUCGCGGGGAGGCGCGCGCUGACGCCUGUGCCCUCGGACGUCCACGCGUACCCUAAGGAGCUUCUCGCGGCCCGGACGCCGCCCCCCCCCCCCAGCCCAUGUCGAGGGCCUCUCCUUAAUUCCCCUCUGCCACCAAGCAGGUGACGGCGUGUGCGUCUCCGGAGGCCUCCAGGCGCGUAAAAAACAAAGUCUUGUGAAACCCAAACGUGAAACUUGGCCAACGCCAACGGUUUAAAUCUAGUAACGGCCGCCACCCAGGUGCAGGCUUCAAAGGAGCCGAGCGAUUGGCCGCCUCGCCGGGACAUCGCGGGGAGGAGCCACGGGUGGCCAGCUGCUUGGUGUUGAGGAAGCACGAGGUCCCUCUGGUGUGAUUCCCCGCCCCCGUGACUUACGACUUAAGACAAGGGGCGCCUGGAAGCCCCUUGAGGGCAGGGGUUCGAGUUUCCCGCCUCUGGGCGCCUGGGUCAACAAAAGACUUGUUGCUGGGCCGGAGGAAGCCUAAGUGGGAAGAUGGCGGGCGGUGGGGCGCGCCCUGCAGGCCGGGCGCGGGCCCUUGGACGCACCUCCCCACCUCGGUUCCCCGAGUCGGCCUUUCCACACCUCUCGUGAUGCAGGGAAUCGUAAUUCGGGCCCAGUGACACACGACUGUGACUCAUAACUCUGUUCCCCUUCCUCCGCGGUCAGCCCUCUCCUCGGGGGGCGCGCGGGCGGUGGAAGGGUACGCGGGGGCCCAGCGUGCGCCCGGCUGGAGGCGGGGUGGGAGCCUUGGGGAGGCGGGCCUCCCAGUUUCAGGAAUGCCUCAGGAAUGUUUCCGGUGGGGGGUGGGGAGCGCGGCGGGCCCGGCUACCCCCCACCCCCCACCCCCGGGCCGUAGGAUGGCGCCCUGGGCGCAGGGCAGCACGUGCUCGGUGGGGGUGGGGCGCAGCGGUCAGGCGCGGGAGGCCACGGCAGGCCGCGGGUCCCGGACCAAGGUCCAGGUGACCCUCAGUUCCAGGGGUGCCCCUGGAGAAGGAGGAAGUCAUGGAGGGGCGUUCCCAACGGGUGGAGGGGAGCCUAGGGCGCCGGGGCAGUCUGGGGGAGGAGCGGCUGCCCCUUUGUGUGCAACCGCCGUGGGGGCGGGGCGGGGUGGAAGCGCGCCGCGCCCUCCAUCUUUGUGCCCCGCGAGCCGAGUUGGCUGGAGGGGCUCGAAGUUGCUGCGAGCUCUGGGGACCUUCGUAGCGAGGUGUGGCUGAGCAAGCUGCCAACUCCCACCAACGCCAGCCCACAUCCUCCCAUGGUACAGGUCAUUGCCAGCAGCCUAGGCCACUAGGCCCUUGCUGUGGUGUUGAAGGGGGAGAGUUUGGGAAUGGCCCCGCGGGCCCUUUUCCUCCGACGUAGUAGUGGCCCCUGGGCGGACACUGCCUCUGACCUGUGUGUACCAGAAAAGGAUACCCUUCCUUCCUGGAUGGGCUUUCGGAAAGCUUCGCCAAUUGCUUGGCCCACUUCUAGUAAACUGGCUUGAUCGUAUUUUUCUGCUUCUUUUCAUCCUGAUAUGCUCACCGGCCGGUUUUGUGUCUUGUGUUUUUGUAAUCGACCCAAGACCCUCUCUAGAAGUAGGCAAACACAAUAGUUUGUCUCCCUCCUGCCUUGCCCACUCCAGAAACAAACAGUUCCGCCCACUGACCCCCAUGCAGAUACCUCCGUGCUCUUCGGCUUGCGCACCCUGUAUCCCAUUCCUCUCCUUCUGCAAUGAUAUUUAAGCUUAAGAGUGAUGGGGGGUGGGGGGACGGUAAGGAGUUCUAUCGAACCUCCUGACUGUAAUGAAAGAAGACCAGACAAGAGGCAGCGGUGAUGUUGAAAACCCGUUUUUGACUUCCAAGUUCUUAGGGCACAGUGAGUGACACAAAGUCCUGUGUGCUUUUAAGCUUAGACUUAGGGCAGGAACCUAAAGACCUAGUAGGAGAUGCAGGAAGCACUGGUUAGUGGCCUGAACAGGACUUCCUUGCAACUGGAGAGUGGAUGGGUCCGGUACAGGAGGCAAGUGGGGGGUGAGUUCUGGGCCUGUAUCUAAGUUGUCUUCCAUGCCCUUCUCCGGUAAGCACUGACCUUCAGAGAUCCCAACUGGAAUGUCAGGGAUCCAAUGACCUGCGUCCCAGGCUAGCAGGUUAGACUUUGUUAAGAAUAGCUCACCCGUUAAAGCUUGGAAGGAUUGGUAGGGAGAGUUCCCCCUAGUUUGAGACCUGUUGUUCCCUGAAGGGUACAGCAAGGGACUGUCUGGUGUUCUGUGUCUCUAAUUUCCAUGUAAGGAUGGGGUGUAUCUGACUCGGUAACCAAACCAGGACACUGAAAAGAGGUCACCUGGAACAGAAGACCCUACCUAGUUUUGGGACUCAAACUGCAAUAAACAAAGGACUGAGGGACAGGUGUGGCAGCAGAGGGACACAGGCUUUAUGAGUUCCAGGACAGCUAGGACUGUGUAGAGAGACCCUGUCUUAAAAGGGGAGUGUUGGGGGAGCAUGGUGGUAGGAUGCUGCCAAGGCCAUGUAACAGACCCUGUCCCAAAAAAUAAAGGGAGUUAUGGGGGCACACUUUUACCUUCAGCCUCCAGGAGGAUCUCUGUGAGUUUGAGCCCACCCCCCCACCCCCCCCCACCCCCGGUCUACAUACUGAGUUCCAGGACAGCCUAGUGAGACCCUGCCUGAAACAAACCAAAAAAAGCUCUAGCGAUGGUCCAGCUCAGUGAAGGUGCUUGUGGCUAAGCCUGAUCGCCCGAGUUUCAUCCUGGAAUCUCAGAUGGUGGAGAAGGAGAAGCAACCAGAGGUUGACUUGACAGGUUUACAUGUGCCUGCCCCCAUCACAUACAUGUAAGAGAGAUAAAAGUGUAAGUUACCCAUUGUUGACAAUUGUGUGUGCACUGAGACAUAAGGAUUGCCACAAGUUUCGCAGCCAGAUUGCACUAUACUGCAAGUACUUUCCACUGUAAUAUUGGAUUUAAAAAAAAAAAAAAAGACCUUCUAAAAAUAAGAAAUUACAUGUUUUAUUUUAUUUAUUGUGCCAAGACCAAGGAGCAGGUCUACUUCCUCCCUGACAGAGCCAAAGUCUUACCUGUUUGUGCCCAAGCAUGUUGGUGACAGUGGCUUUUACAGUGUGGGCACACGGACUCACUUCCUUCCUCGGCCUUUGGCCAGGCGGACACCACGCCACAGCACGUGGCUGCAGAGUUCACCCACAAGGCCCCAGGCUUCCCAAAUGUGAAUGUCCCGCAGUUUGUUUACCCUGGUCUGUGGAAGGGUUUCUGGAUAGUUGCUGGUUCUGGCUGGUACAUCGAGUGCUACCAUGGCUGUGGCAGGGCUCCCAGUGAGCAGAUCUGCACAUUUCUAUCGGGUGCGUGCCUAGGAGAGGAACUGCUGGACCACAGUUGGUGCGUGCCGGGUUUCAGCAGACGUGCAGGACGCUACGGAGUGACAGGGCCACUCAUCACGGCUAUGAGCUCACAGCAGGCAUCAACCUGACCUAGCCCAAACCAGCGAACACUGACUGACCCACACCAGCCAGUGUUAGGUUGGCUCACAGUGCUGGCCCUAGGCCAUAUCAACCAGGUCUGAUCCUUGCCAGCCACUAUUGGGGCCACUCUGACACGAGGUGCUUGCCCACUCUCCUGGAGUCACCCAGCUACCAGUGCAUCUGGUCCUCUGGCAGGAUCAGACCUCAGAACCCUGCUGACCACAAACUCUGUUGCCAGGAAGCCUGGCCGGCUGGAGGGGAAGGAGGGCCUCUUCUGGUUCCAACUUUCGAGGGAAAACCAAGAUGUUUCGAGAGAACAAGAGGGGGGAGCAGCUCUCUGCCUGCCUUUCUCCCUGCUGUGAGAUCCAGGACUCGAACACACACACACACACACACACACACAGAAGGAGAGAGAGAGAUUGGGACUAUCAAUCCCCAGCAAACCCAGCUCUAUCUAACCUCAGGAAACACUGAGGAAGAGGGAUUAUUGAACAAGAACAGAGCCACGAGGGUCUUUCUCUUUACUCUCUGUCUCCCCCAUCAGGGAACACUAUUCCCACCCCAAUCCCAAGGCAAUGAAAAAAGGAAGCUUGGGCCAGGCAUGGGGGGGUGGGUUGAGGAGAUGGGGGGCGGCAGGCUUUAAAACCCAGUACAGAGGAGGCAGAAGCAGGCAGAUCUCUCUGCGUUCAAGGCCAGCCAGAGAUUCUCAAAAGCAAACAAAACGCUUAGGCUUUUGCCCCUUUCAGCCUAAGAGAUUUCUCUCCCGGCACCGGGAUCGGCACCAGCUGGACCAGAGUAGCUCCCCUUGUAUACUCAAGGCACUUAUGUUGAAGGGAAGGAUGGGGGACAGAAAGGACCCGGGCAACAUCGCCGAUGGACUUAGUCUGUGCUGUGGAAGCACAAACAGGGACCCAGGGCCUGGGUCGGGGAAGCAGGCAGGUUGAGACCAGACAGGUUGGACGUCUGUCCAGCAUAGGAAUAGGCUAGGCUUGGGAGUAGAGAGGCAAGCAAGGUGGCAUUCAGUCCCAUUCCCCACCCCCACCCCAACACCUCUGAAGCUACUGCUUCAAAUGCUAGGUUUCAGUAACAGACAAAAGGGGAAGCGGCUCUCCAGCGCUCCCACCAGGAGCGCUGAGGAACGCCCAGUUGCCAGUGUUUAUGGGGUCAGAAUACAGGUAUGGUGACAGGCAGGCUUCCUGUCCCUGCCUUCACUGGGGCAGAGGCCAGCAGCUCAGGCCUGUUCUAGGAGGUCCAGCCUGCUCCUCCAGUUUCCCAGCAGUUCUGUAAGCACCCGUUCUGAAUCUCUUCCUACCUGAAAGGCAAGACCUCUUCUGGCUUAGGAGCCUCAGGGCGUGAAGUCUGGCAGUGGUGAUGCAUACCUUCUGUCCAGCACUCCGGAGGCAGACACAGGCAGAUCUCAACCGGUUGAAGGCCAGCCUGGUCUACAUGGUAAGUUCAGGUCAGUCAGUAAUACAUAGUGUAUCCUAUUUUAAAAAGCAGCAGCAGUAAUAACAACAACAAAAACCUGCCUGCCUGUUCCCUCCCUGUCUAUUUAACUGUUGUCAGUGAAUGGUCCGAAUGCUCUUCUUGUCUGGAGAGACAAGACAAGGACUGUAUGCCCUAUCAUUUGUGCAGUCUGCCCAAGACCAAGCGCAGUGUUCAGUGUCUGCUAUCCAUUGGUAUUUAGUACCAGGACACCUAUCCCUAACCCUCAAGGCAAACUGAAGGCAGAAGACUAACUGUCCUAGGAUGGUCUAGCCUGAGACAUGACAGGGCUCCUGCACCCUCAGGAGGAGCCCACCUGUCCUUUGUCACCAUGAGAAGGUGUCAUCUCCUGUCUUCACCUGACAGUUCCAUAGCCUUUUAUCAGAGGGACUGACAUCGUUGCUCAAUGGGCAUUAGAGAGAGAAUGUCUCUAGCUGCCAAGGAGAACUGAGCUGGGGAAGUCUGAGGUGUUGUAUUGUUGUUUGCAGCAGCAGCAGCAGCAGCAGCAGCAGCAGCAGCAGCAGCAGCAGCAGCAGCAUCUGUUUUUUUGUUUCCAAGACAGGGUUUCUCUGUGUCAGGCUGGCCUUGAACUUAGAGACCCACCUGUCUCUGCACCCCCCCCCCCCAGUGUUGGAAUUUAAGAGGUAUAUCACUUGGGGCUGGAGAGAUGGCUCAGUGGUUAAGAGCACUGACUGCCGCCGGGUGGUGGCACAUGCCUUUAAUCCCAGCACUUGGGAGGCAGAGGCAGGCGGAUUUCUGAGUUCGAGGUCAGCCUGGUCUACAGAGUGAGUUCCAGGACAGCCAGGGCUACACAGAGAAACCCUGUCUCAGAAAAAAAAAAAAAAAAAAAAGAAGAAGGAGGAGGAGGAGGAGGAGGAGGAAGAAGAGGAAGAGGAAGAAGAGGAAGAUGAAGAAGAAGAAGAAAGUAGUGUAUCACCAUGCCUGACUGAGUGAGAUCUUUGAAGAUCAAAUACUUUUCCUUUGGCCCAAAGGAGCUUGUAGAGGUACCAGCCACCUAUUGAAUUCAGAGCCCGUGUAUUUCCUAGACUGGGGACCCCAGGCCACCUUGAAACCUUUCUCAGGGUUGAGAAAACAGUCCUGGUCUCUGUUUGGGGAUAUGUGGCCUGGAUAUGUGUGUGUGUGUAGGGUGUCUACCAAUCAGGUUGUAGAAGCACAAAAACGUUGUGUAGUCAAACAAGAGGCAAGUGUUAGGGAGUGAGCACGGUGGUUGUGGAGGGACCAGCAGGUCUUGUGGGGCGGGGCAGUGAGCACACUCCAGGGGAUUUAUUAACCUCCUAGGCUUGGUUUUCUUCAUCUUCAACCCCAGCAAGCUGGACACCAGGCCCAAGGCCUAACUGUGAGUGUAAGUCUGGUGAAUGGAUGGGUGGGCUGAAGGCCUCCUGAGGGCUGGAGGAGGUAGGUAGCUGGGGGUGGGCAUAAGGGAGGGGAGCUAGCUCCUGGUAGGAGAUGGGGGUGGGGGCUGGAGCUGUGAAGUUGGCCUGGAAUCUAGCCUGGAGCGGGCAGCAGAGAGCCCUGCUUUCCCAUCUUCCUGGUCUUCAUCCAUCCUGUGCUUGCCAGGCCUGUCCCCACUGCAGGGCUCACUGUGACUUCCAGGACCCAGUCUCCCUUGAGACUGGCUCAGGCAGCCUCUUUGCAUUCUCCUUUCUAGGGACCUAACCACAGCACCACACAUCAGUGGCUCGCCAAGAUAAAAUCUCCUGGGAGCAGGCAGUGGGCUCUAGGCGUGGGUUAACUCGCACUGGGGAUCCUCUACAGCCCUAAAUCAUCUGGUGGGGUGAACAGAGAAUCCCGAGAUAGUCAUGCUGACACUGGCCAGCCAUUCCAGUUCUUGGGGGCAGUGCUAGGCGGGAGCCGCUGACAGCCAGGUUUCUGGGUCACCAUCCAGGGUGCCCUGCCAGUUCCCAGGCCUGGGUGAGGAGCAUGUGCGCUCUGCCACUGAAGCUCAUGCCCCUCUGCUGCCUUUGUCCUUGUCCUUUGGGGCGUGUUCCCAUCCCCCACCUCUAGUCUGGCAGCAGCCUCAGCCCUGAGCGAGCUCAGGGGCCCCCAAGGAGGGGCUAGGUGCUGACCAUCAGAGAAUUCCUGGGUUGGUAGAACUGAUGUAAAAAAGACUCAAAGCCCCCUACCAACAAUGGUCUCUCUUGUUUGGCAGGAGCCUGCCCCUCCAGCCUACUGCUCAGAUGGGCUCCUCUUCCAGAGGAUCUGCUGCCGGAAGACAGAGCAGAAAAAGGACAUGUUCCCACAGAGAUGGAUUGAGGUUGCCCACCUGAUGUCCCGGCUCACACAAGGUCCGUCUGAAAAGGGUGGCCUCCCCUGGAAAUGUACCUCCCUUCCUAAGAUCUCAGCAGUCAUACAGUCAGGCUGAGACCCAAGAGUUAGUGCAUCUCACAAAGGACGGGUGAGAGGUCCAGGGGCCAUGGUGGGGGUGGAGGUUGGGGCAUCUUAGGCCGUCCUUGGUGUGGGUGUCUCAGGCAGCUGGUGAGGUGGGAUAAAUCUCCUGGGGGACCGUGUUGUUUUGGGACACCCCCCCCCCCACACACACAUCAUUUAGAGAAGGGAAUGGGCCCAGCAAGGAUCAGGUCAAAGCUGAGGGCUCUAGGGAUGCCAGUCCUCCUGUGAUGCUGUCCCCACUGCCCUGGCCAGCACAUAGGGCCAGCCCCUCCCCCAACAUGUGACCCUUUAUUGUACUUGAGGAGGGAGCUGCUGGAUGUGUAGCCUCCAGGACGAUGGAUUCAGGUGCAGGUCUCUCUUCCUGCCAUGCAGGUUCACCAGCUAGGGUAUCUGCCUCCUGCUCCGUGAGGUGAUUUCAGGUUUUUUUUUUUUUGUUGUUGUUGUUUUUUUUUUUUUUUUUACAUUUUGUUGUGGCUUCUAGAAUGUUUAGAUGUGGUCUCUCUCUGUCUCUCUCUCUGUCUCUGUCUCUGUCUCUGUCUGUCUGUCUGUCUGUCUGUCUCUCUCUCUCUCUCUCUCUCUCUCACACACACACACACACACACACACACACACAAUCCUAGCACUUAGGAAACUGAGGCAGGAGGAUUGUGGCAAAAAAAUCUAAAAGCAAUAGGCAGUCCCAAGCUUUAAUCCCAACCCACUUGGUCUUUACAAGGUUAAUCUGGUCUACAUAGUGAGUUCUGGACCAGCCAGGGCUACACCGUGAGACCCUGUUUCCAAAACAAACCCACAAACAUAAAAUACUCACACACAUAAAAUGAGCAAGUCUUUAAAAAAAAAACAAAGUCAACUAAAAAAGAACAUUCAACAUUCCUUGGGUGAGCCUGAACCUCUGCAGCACAGUGGCUGGCCUAGAUAAUUCUCUGUAUUUAUGGCUUGCUGGUGCGAUCCCUGAGCCCAGAAUGCCCUCUCCUUUUGUUGUUUGAGGCAGGGUCUCACUAGUUCAAGACUGGGCUGGCCUUGAACUCACAGAUACCUGCCUGCCUCUGCCUUCUAAGUGUGGAAACCCCUGUGAGCCAGGACAUCUGCGCUUGGCAAGGCAAGUGUAAACAUACCUUGUUCACUGUCUUAGCUCAGGUCCUGAAAACCUGGCACAGAGUAGGUGUUCAGAAUUUCCGCCAUCUAAGGGAAAAGUUCAUUUGGGGACAACCUGGGGGCAGCAGGGUGAGGAACUUUCACUGCCUGCCCUAGCACCUGGGCACACCUGACACAAAGGACCUGUAAGGUGGCUUGGAAGACUGCCAAGGGUCAUUCUAAUACUGCCACUCUGUGGACAGGUGUAUGCUGGGGCCCUGGCUGUGUCCUAGGGAGGCUAGGGUAACUGAUCCUCCCAGUGCCUGGGGCAUCUGGAGCUGGAGGCUGGGUGCCCAUGGCUCAGGCUCACACAAGGUCAGUGUGUCAAAGGGACAUGGAACACACUUUCUCUUUCCCCGAGAUUCCAUCACACUGUGAAAGCCCCUUCCGCAGGGACUUCCCUCCCGGCCUGACUCAGGCUGCCUCACGCCCCGUGACUCAGGCAGGAGCCUUGCCAGCCCAGCCCCACAUCCUGCACUGCUCAGUCCAGAAGACGGCCUGAGCCAGGGAUAGGAGCUGGUAAGAGCCUCCCGGAUCCCCAGUGGAGACCCACCACAGCCCCAGCUGAAGUAAACCAUGAGCUUGGUGUGGUGCUGCAGUCCUGUGAUCUCGGCACUCUGGAGAACCAAGAGUUCAAGGCUGUCCUAGGCUCGACAUCGGGUUCAAGGCCAGCCUGGGCUUCAUUCGAGCUAAAUACAAAACUGUAAUAAAGUCCAUGGCUGGGUGUGAAUGCACAGGCCUGAAAUUCCAGAUCUCGGGAGACAGGGGUAAGAGGGACCCUGCAAGUUCAAGGCCAGCCUGCUGUACCAGCCAGGGAACAUAAAUGAGCAAAUGAAAAAGAAAGAACACAGAGACUGAACUCCAGGAGGCACAAAGUUAUCAGGAGGGGGAAACCCCAGAGGGACUAACCAAGCAACCUGUUACUCUAGACGGAGGAAAGUCAAAAUGCAAGACCAGGAGGAGAGAGCAGGGCCAGCAUUGGGGGAAGGACUCGGUGAGCAUCCCUGGGAGACCAGGAUACAGGAGGUGCUGGCCCACACUGGCCGCUUCCUGGCUUCCUGCCCCCUGCUGCCCCCCCGGGACCUCUCCAGGGAGACUGACAAGAACUCCAGCUGAGGACCUUGCUUUCUCUCAUCUGCUUUUCCAACUCUGUCCUUGGGUCUCAGUCUUGUGGACUGCAGAAUGGAUGGGCCCUGGAGAGGCGAGACAGCCACAGAACCGUAUCUGCAGCUUUGGUCCUUAGCCCGGCUGCUCCCUGAGGGCCACUGGGGAACCCAGCAUCUUUGUUUUUUCUAUUGGAGGAGCAUCGUGGAACAGAGGCAGUUUGCUGAGCUGGUGCAGGUCAGGGAGGAGGCAGUCGGGGCAGCUUCCCUCCCAAGCGCCAAGUCUCAGAGCGACAGUCGGACAGUCGGAUCCGUGUAGCUGGCUUACAGCUGAGUGGGGCAGCGAGGGGGUGUAAAUUUCUCAAGACCACGCAGGAAAGUGGGACCCCCUACCUAUCUGGUUCUAAAUCGAUCUCUCUAAACCUUUCCUGGAAAUGGGUGUGUGUGGCUCGGUGCUGAGGGGGCUUUGCAUGAAGCCAGCUGCCAACCCCAGUAGUUCAAUACCAAUGCAAGUCUCCAAGCUUCGGGGGAGGGGCAUCACUUCCGGGAGAGCGAUGGAGGUGUGAGCAGAGCUUGGGGAGCCAAAGCCCGGAGCGCACCAGGCCCUUUCUCGGGCAGGAUUAGGAAAGAGUCAGGGACUUGUAUCCCAGAGUCGGAUGUUUGACCCACUACCAGCACAGUAAAGUCAAGAAGGAGAAAGGUCCACAGAGAGAGCGGGGAAGGUGACCUAUGAUGCGAUGUUUCAUAAGGACCCGUGCGGGAGCCCAGAGUCAUGGGUCGUCCCAGGCCUGGGAUGAUGGCAUGCCAGGGUGUUAGCAGCCAGCGCGUAUAGAGGCAAAGCCUGCUUAGGACAGGGUUUCACUUAUUGGUUUUCUGGCCGUUCUCUGGCCUCAGCCUCCCGAGGGGUGGGAUUUUGUUGGUGAGCUAAUGUACUUGGCUUCUCUUGUUAUUUAUUUCUUUGCUUAUUUAUUUAUUUAUUUAUUUAUUAAAAUUAAAAAUUUUUAAAAGAU
rnacentral:lncRNA from 1 species